UGAGGAAUUUUCGGCAAUGGGGGCAACCCUGACCGAGCAACGCCGCGUGCAGGAUGACGGCCUUCGGGUUGUAAACUGCUUUUCUCUGGGACGAGAACGGACGGUACCAGAGGAAGAAGCCCCGGCUAACUACGUGCCAGCAGCCGCGGUAAUACGUAGGGGGCAAGCGUUGUCCGGAGUUACUGGGCGUAAAGCGCACGCAGGCGGUCCGAUGCGUUUUCGGUGACAGUGGAGGGCUUAACUCUCCAAGGAUCGGAAAAACGGUCGGACUUGAGGACCAGAGAGGGACCUGGAAUUCCGGGUGGAGUGGUGAAAUGCGUAGAGAUCCGGAGGAACACCAAAGGCGAAGGCAGGGUCCUGGCUGGUACCUGACGCUCAGGUGCGAAAGCGAGGGGAGCGAACGG
rnacentral:rRNA from 1 species